AACCCUCUUGAGACGGUUUCUUGUAAGAGUGAGCUCCGAUUGUUCUAAUGUAAGACAGCACCCCAUUUGGUGAAGAAGAUGAGGAUAAAGGUGCUGAUUAUACUACCAGUUGGAAAAACAAUGCAGCCGUCACAAACAAGUGCUGCAAUUAAAAAUGACAGGAUACCAAGUCAUGUUAAUACAGAGAUGAAAAUUAAAAGCAGUAACUUGUACUCUCCUAUUGACGAACCAUUACACAUGCGAUUUACUGUAGAUACCAGUUCCUGUCUUAUUAAGUCUCCUAAAGAUAAGCGGCGGCUCUACGGCGUGGUAGAAUUCAGUUUACUUUUUUUAGCAUGCCGGUGUGUUUGAUGAGCUUUAUUCUCUUUUUUUUCUGCAAAUGGGAAACUACAGUGUAGCCAUCUCCAUGCAUUAUACUGCAUGGUUGGCAUAUAUAAUUAACAGCUGUUUUUGAAAAAGAUGAAGGAAAAGACUGUUCCGUGCACGUACUAUGCUGUACUUGGUGCUGGAGAAUGGACAUCUUGCAGAUUUUAUAAAUGACCUGAAGUACAGUACUCUUCCACUGAUUUUUGGACAUGUUAGACUUUUCUCUCAACCAGGGACGGAUUUUGGUGUUCGUACUGUAGGCUCUGGGCACUUUCACGCCGAAAUGUGCAAAAAGAAGGGCAAAAACCAAAGAAGGGCAAACGCCGAAGAGUAUUUUUAAACUAUUUUAAAGCUAAACUACGUGAUUAAUGGAGCCAGUCAAUCAACCAUCCCUUGACACUUCUAGUUUGUAGAAUAGCCGCUAGAUAGCAUAUGAUUAUUGAUUUGGAGCACCUAUAGUUGAUCGCAAGCAUGUUGUUUCAGCUCGGUUUUAUUAGUCACUAGUGUUUCCCUCCUUCGUGGGGCCUAAAACUAAAAAAAUUGUAGGUCCUAGGCACUGCUCUCAACGUUAAGUCAUACUUCCAAUUGCCAAUUUAACGAUCACUGGAUGCUAGUAUUGAUUUACAGUAAGUGGAGUAAACCCAAUUCCCUGUGUAUGAGCUGGGGAAGCCAGGCGCGAUAAGGUUCUUGGUUGACAGGCGCUUUUGAGCAGGAUUUCCUAAUAUACUGUAGGUCCCCCUGAAACAAGUACUGCAUAUACUGUACAGUGUAGACUUUUUCCUCUGUAUCAGCUCUUGAAUGUUAAAUCAUUGUUAAUAAGCAACUCAUUUUUUAAAUUUGUUUUCAGUACUGUUUGUGUAAAUGAAAUGAUUUGAAAGCUUUAACUUUCCAGGAACAAAAACAAAUACAAGCUCUAAUUAAUCAGAUUAUUAGUUUAAUUGUAGUUUAAGUGUCAAAAGCCCAAUUGUGCAAAAGACAAUCCCUUUGAGUAUGCUGAAGUUCCUUGGAGCAAAAUAGUCUUUAAGUGGACUAUUUUUCAAACUAAUGACUGAGUGCAGAAGCCGGUAAAUCAAAACCUGCAAAUACCUAGAUCAAGCGUGAGCCAGCACCAGACAUCUUCGUGUCCCUCGGAAUGUUUUCAUUUGACGUAUAAUUUUUAUUCCUUAAUUAAACUGGAUGAAUAACUUAAGGUUUUAUGUCUUAAAUGAUUGAUAAUAGAAAAAUAAAGGACAUGGAAAGUCUUCUGGAGUUUGGCACUGGAGAACUAGCCUUUUAAUUUAAGAACAUAACUCAAAACACAACCUCCUCCCUUCAGUGUCUUGAGUUAUUAAUAAAAGAGUUGAAAACAUAUUUUUGUUGAUCAAUUUAAAAAAUAAAAUGAAAUGAAUUUUGAAUUUA